GGGCGCCGAUUCUCUCGGCGCCGGAGUGACGCACUUCUCCCCCAGUAGAACGUCGCGACCCGUCGGGCGCCGGCCUAAGGUCCCGGGUGGAGUCUGCGCGGUUCGCACCGCGCACGACCCCGGGGAUCCCGGCCGGGUGCUCGACGGUACGAAGAGAGGAAGGAGUCGACGCGCCGCUCGUCGGCGUCCGGCCCUCCGCAAGCGCCCGCGGGAGUCCGAGAUUCCGGGCCCGGCCCGGUCUCGGUCCCUCCGCGGGGCUGUUUGCGAUCAGGAGGUGUCCUCGGAAC
rnacentral:rRNA from 1 species